rnacentral:lncRNA from 1 species
GAGGAUCUCUCACCUGCCACCCGUCCCUCCACCCCCUCCCACUUCACGCAGCCCUAUUUCAGGAAGGAAUGGAGCUUAAAAUAACUGCUGUGGAGGAGCAAGGUCAGAUAAUAAUAACUGACAUUUACAUAGCCCUUUAAAACGUUUGAAGUGAUUUCCAUGCAUAAGCUUAUUUGGGCCUCAUAGAAGUCAUGCCAGUCUGAGUUCCUGGAAAACCUUUGGACAACAUUCUAUACUAGUUUCAGGCCUCGUGGCCCUGAAGACAUCCUUGGUGCAAUUAACCAUUUGGAACCACCAUAUAGGCUUUCCUGCACUGGGAAAACUACACUGAUGUUAAACCAGGGAGUUUGGAAGCACAAUGAAAGUGAUGCCCCUCAGAAGACUGUAAGCUCUUGGAAGUCGGAGAUCAUAUUUUAUACUUUUCUUAUGAUGUCUACUUAA